CACUCACAAGGUCAGAAUUAAUGUGGAAGGAGAUAGCAGAAUUUAAGAGAAUUUGAAAGGCUUUGGCUGCUGAAAGUUGAUGAAAGAUUGUUGACUACAUUAGCAGAGAGAGAGAUGAACCAGAAAUGAACUGAUUAGCCCUGUGGGGCCCCAGCAUGAUGCGGGGCCAAGCAAGCGUCAUUGCUUAGUCACUAAGUCAUGUCUCACUCUGCAACCCCAUGAACUGUAGCUCCCCAGGAUCCUCUAUCCGUGGGAUUUCCCGGUCAAGAGUACUGGGGUGGAUUGCUGUUUCCUUCUCCAGGAGAUCUUCCCAACCCAGAGAUCAAAGCCAUGCAUUGCAGGUGGAUUCUUUGCUGCUGAGCCACCUGGGAAACCCUCAAGCAAGGGUACCAGGUUGGAAAUGGGGGAACCAGACUCCAGUCUUCUCCCUGUGUUCUGCACAGCCAGGAAAAAAUCCUCUUUGCCACCUCCCCUUGUAAGGAGCUGGACAUCGCCUGGAGCAGUCGAGCCAGGUAGGCUCCAGACGUGGGGACACCAGGCAGAACAGAGAGCUCUGAAAGGUACAGGUCUAAAAGGGGGGAGGGAUGAAGUGAGCUGCCCUCCAGAGUGCCCAGCCCACCAGCACCUGCAAGGCUCCUGGAAUGCCCAGGACCAGGCAUCUGUCCCCAAGACAGAUGACUGGAACAUUCAUUCUUCAUUGGAAAAACUGGCUUCAGAGAAAAGACCUCCACAUAUUUCUCAAUGUAAAGACUGUAUCACUGUUCCAACAUCCUACAAUGGCACAGAUCAGUGUGUACUGGGCCUUUGCGCACACGCACACACACAUGCGCGCGCGCACACACACACACACAAAGAGCACAGACAGCCAGGACCCCUCAGACAGCAAAGCUUCCAACAAAUAAAAGAAACUAGAUAUGAAUUUCCCCAGGCCUUUGCUUCACUAGUCCUAACAAACUCCCCUAUUUGCAAAUAUAAUAGCUUUAAAAAAAAAAGUUUCAAGGAAGAGUCCAAAUCAACCGGCCAAAGAGAAGAAUGAGAGAUAGAGACAAUGUAGGAAAGAGAAGAGCAUUAAAAACAACCCUCCCAC
ensembl:lncRNA